rnacentral:rRNA from 1 species
GACGAACGCUGGCGGCGUGCUUAACACAUGCAAGUCGAACGGGCUCUGUCUGGCUGUGUGCUGGGUGGGGUUAGUGGCGAACGGGUGAGUAAUACGUGAGUAACCUGCCCUCUUCUUUGGGAUAAGCCUUGGAAACGGGGUCUAAUACUGGAUAUUCCUGUCUGGUCGCAUGGCUGGGUGGGGAAAGUUUUUUUCGGUGGGGGAUGGGCUCGCGGCCUAUCAGCUUGUUGGUGGGGUGAUGGCCUACCAAGGCGUCGACGGGUAGCCGGCCUGAGAGGGUGCCCGGCCACACUGGGACUGAGAUACGGCCCAGACUCCUACGGGAGGCAGCAGUGGGGGAUAUUGCACAAUGGGCGCAAGCCUGAUGCAGCGACGCCGCGUGGGGGAUGACGGCUUUCGGGUUGUAAACCUCUUUCGUCGGGGGACAAGGCUCUGCUUGGUGGUGGGGUUGAGGGUACCCGGUGAAGAAGCGCCGGCUAACUACGUG